GGAUACCAGGGGUUAGAGGUCACAUAUCUGACAUGGACCAAUGGGGUUGGAGGAUACCAGGGAUUAAAUAAAAAAUGUAAUCAAAUCAAAUUGUAUUUGUCACAUGCGCCAAAUACAACAGGUGUAGUAGAACUUACAGUGAAAUGCUGAAUGCAAUAGGUGUAGAUAGACCUCACAGUGAAAUGCUGAAUACAACAGGUGUAGAUAGACCUCACAGUGAAAUGCUGAAUACAAUAGGUGUAGUAGACCUUACAGUGAAAUGCUGAAUACAACAGGUGUAGUAGACCUUACAGUGAAAUGCUGAAUACAACAGGUGUAGUAGACCUCACAGUGAAAUGCUGAAUACAACAGGUGUAGAUAGACCUCACAGUGAAAUGCUGAAUACAACAGGUGUAGAUAGACCUCACAGUGAAAUGCUGAAUACAACAGGUGUAGAUAGACCUCACAGUGAAAUGCUGAAUACAACAGGUGUAGAUAGACCUCACAGUGAAAUGCUGAAUACAACAGGUGUAGAUAGACCUCACAGUGAAAUGCUGAAUACAACAGGUGUAGAUAGACCUCACAGUGAAAUGCUGAAUACAACAGGUGUAGUAGACCUUACAGUGAAAUGCUGAAUACAACAGGUGUAGAUAGACCUCACAGUGAAAUGCUGAAUACAACAGGUGUAGUAGACCUUACAGUGAAAUGCUGAAUACAACAGGUGUAGUAGAACUUACAGUGAAAUGCUGAAUACAACAGGUGUAGUAGACCUUACAGUGAAAUGCUGAAUACAACAGGUGUAGUAGACCUUACAGUGAAAUGCUGAAUACAACAGGUGUAGAUAGACCUCACAGUGAAAUGCUGAAUACAACAGGUGUAGUAGACCUUACAGUGAAAUGCUGAAUACAACAGGUGUAGUAGACCUUACAGUGAAAUGCUGAAUACAACAGGUGUAGUAGACCUUACAGUGAAAUGCUGAAUACAACAUGUGUAGUAGAACUUACAGUGAAAUGCUGAAUACAAUAGGUGUAGUAGACCUUACAGUGAAAUGCUGAAUACAACAGGUGUAGUAGACCUUACAGUGAAAUGCUGAAUACAACAGGUGUAGUAGACCUUACAGUGAAAUGCUGAAUACAACAGGUGUAGUAGACCUUACAGUGAAAUGCUGAAUACAACAGGUGUAGUAGACCUUACAGUGAAAUGCUGAAUACAACAGGUGUAGUAGACCUUACAGUGAAAUGCUGAAUACAACAGGUGUAGUAGACCUUACAGUGAAAUGCUGAGUACAACAGGUGUAGUAGACCUUACAGUGAAAUGCUGAAUACAACAGGUGUAGUAGACCUUACAGUGAAAUGCUGAAUACAACAGGUGUGGUAGACCUCUGAAGGAAAGGAAGCCAGGUUAGACUAUUGGAACCCAGCCUCUGAAGGAAAGGAAGCAAGGUUAGACUAUAGGAAUCCAGACUCUGAAGGAAAGGAAGCCAGGUUAGACUAUAGGAACACAGCCUCUGAAGGAAAGGAAGCCAGGUUAGACUAUAGGAACCCAGCCUCUGAAGGAAAGGAAGCCAGGUUAGACUAUAGGAACCCAGCCUCUGAAGGAAAGGAAGCCAGGUUAGACUAUAGGAACCCAGCCUCUGAAGGAAAGGAAGCCAGGUUAGACUAUAGGAACCCAGACUCUGAAGGAAAGGAAGCCAGGUUAGACUAUAGGAACCCAGCCUCUGAAGGAAAGGAAGCCAGGUUAGACUAUAGGAACCCAGCCUCUGAAGGAAAGGAAGCCAGGUUAGACUAUUGGAACCCAGCCUCUGAAGGAAAGGAAGCCAGGUUAGACUAUAGGAACCCAGCCUCUGAAGGAAAGGAAGCCAGGUUAGACUAUAGGAACCCAGCCUCUGAAGGAAAGGAAGCCAGGUUAGACUAUUGGAACUCAGCCUCUGAAGGAAAGGAAGCCAGGUUAGACUAUUGGAACCCAGCCUCUGAAGGAAAGGAAGCCAGGUUAGACUAUUGGAACUCAGCCUCUGAAGGAAAGGAAGCCAGGUUAGACUAUUGGAACUCAGCCUCUGAAGGAAAGGAAGCCAGGUUAGACUAUUGGAACCCAGCCUCUGAAGGAAAGGAAGCCAGGUUAGACUAUUGGAACCUGUUAGAGAACAGUCUGCUUCCUCAGAGAAGACACUUCCUGUUGUCUGUGAGUCAUGACAGACUGUUCAGAGCAUGGAGACACAUAUACACACACACACACACACACACACACACACACACAC